rnacentral:lncRNA from 1 species
UGAAUAUGUAAAAAAAUUAUUUCUCAAAUUUGUGUUGGCUUGUUGUCUAAUAGUCAGUUCAAUUUCUUUAGUCAUCUAACCAGUGUAUUGACUUGUUGUCCUUACUUUAUAGUCAAUUCAUAUCUAGUAUCAAUGAACUACAUCUGUUUUUUUACCUGAUCAUUCGUUAAGAAUACUUGAAAUUCUUUGGUACAAUUGCUCAUUCGAUAAAUACUUCGUCUAUAGUCAGAUACUGACUAUGUUCACCUAUGUAAUUCUGAGAUCUGUUUCAAGUCGUUCCAUUUUAUAAGGGAGAGUAGAAUAAAAAAGAAGAAAGCACCUUGAUUUAAGUACUUUUUUCAUUGGUUGAAGUGCUGCCAGAAUAAACUUGAAAUUCAAUUGUUUUCCAUAUUAGAGAAAGCGGUUGAUCUUUCUUGACUAUUCCGUGUUAUUUUAAAGUACCUGCACAUAUAGCCGUUAAGUAAUCCAUAUCAACAUCUCUGCCAGGAAUUAAAUCCGAAUACAUUGUGUCAAAGCUAAAUCCUUCCAUUUUGAAUAGAAAUUAAUAACCGAAGAAAUCCAUAUAUGCAAGUCUGUAUCUACCACAUACUAAGUAGUCACCAUGAAGAACAUUACCUUCAUUCAAGCAUAGUAGCAUAAUCCUCUUCUCUUGUCCGUAAUUAAACAUCCCACUACCCCAAUCAAGUAAUCUUUUCUUAGAAUCAUAUUUCAGCUCUUUACUCAAAACCUUGAUGACCUAUAGGCAAAAAAGUAGAUAGUGUUAACUUCUUUACUCAACAAAAUGCUCUUAGCUCUUCAUAAUCAAAUUUGUUCUUUUGUUGCCCUUCUAGUUUAGAAGAUCCUCACUUAUGUUGUAUCAUGUAUGGUUCAAAUUAAUUACCUCUUCGCUCAUCUUGGCAACAACUUAACCCUAUGGCAGAUAUAAAAUCAGUCAAUAUACGUUAUAAGUUACUUCAUUCCAUACAAAAUUUCAUAAAUAGACUAUUUCCAACUGUCAGCACUUGCAUUGAAACACAAAUCUUAGAGAAACAACUUUAACAAAAAAAAAGAUAUAACAUUCAGAGUUUACCGUUGGAGAUUUCGGCACUUUUCACAAUAGCCUAGAUGAAAGGGAAUGAAACACUUCCUUGUCAUUAGAAGAAAAAACGUAACUUCCUUUCCUUUGAAGGAAAAGGGACACAUGUUACAAUAUAUAAUUCACUGUGUACAUGUACAUGUCAAGGACUCAAGAAUUGAUAAAGUUAAUAAUAUUUGACAAUAUAACACAGGUGCAACAACAUUUUGGAGGAUCCAAGCAACAUAAGUCGUGGAUAUAACACAAUCAAAACCAUACAUUUCAAAAUUACCUUCAUUAGUAGAUGGAUUCAGGUUCUUGGUGCUUUACUUUUUUUUUAAAAAAAUGAUAAGAGAAAUGACAACUAUUUAUUGGGAAAGGGAACAAUAACAUAAAUAACUAUUCAGAUACAGUUAUGCAAUGAAUGGUUUCCUGACAAUUGAGAUCUGGAAGGGGGAUUUAUUAACAUCGGCACUGUUAGCAAUGGAGUAAUAUUAAUUAGUUUCUAGACAUAACAUCUUAUAUGAGUUCAAGAUAAAGUACAAUCAGAUUAUGAACUUGCAAUUCUUGAGAAACAAAAAUCCCAUCAUAGUUAAGGAUGGCACCCGACCUCUUUCAUUUAACAGAAGGUAAUCUACUAUAAUGUAAUACUUUGGAGAGAACCAACAACACAAAAAUUUGGUUCUAUGUCAGCCCUUUGCUUAGGGGAAUUGGGACAAAAGAAUGGUUGGGACAACAAACAUUUAUCUCCAAAUUUGAUCGUAUACUUCAUUACAAGUUUACAACUAUAUGAUUCAGAGCUAUUCAGAGUAUCAUUCAUAUUUGAUCCCUUUAACUUUCAUAUUCGAGUUGGUACUCUACAUAUUAGAAGCAAAGUUCCCUCUAUAACAUUUUGGAACAGUCAUUUGAGUAUCAAAAAGUAAUCCAAGUUCUUUCCUUACUAUUAUUCCUAAGUUUAAAUAUCGACUCAAAACUAUAAAAGAUAUUUUGAACAAGAAAAAGAAACAAGCAGUAAACCAAUGAAGGAAUGCACUAACUUUCAUUAGCGAAUACAUACACCCAAAAGGAUAACAACUACUAAACAAAGUAUUGAAAUAGAAGAAGAUAGAUACAGUUAGAGAUUGAAGUUCAGUUCAUACAAAAAGGAAAUGGAAAUGAUAAAAAUUGAAAUAAAUACAUAAAAUAUAGCUUACCAAACACUAAGAUUGCUGAUGACCGAAUCUGUCUUUUCUCUUUUGAAUUUUUGUCAAACACCUCGCCAUAUCC